UACGUAGGGUGCAAGCGUUAAUCGGAAUUACUGGGCGUAAAGGGUGCGCAGGCGGCCAUGUGUGUGAGGCGUGAAAGCCCGAUGCUUAACAUCGGAAUUGCACCUCAAACUACAUGGCUAGAGCAUUGGAGAGGGAUGUGGAAUUCCAGGUGUAGCGGUGAAAUGCGUAGAUAUCUGGAGGAACACCGGUGGCGAAGGCGGCAUCCUGGACCGGUAUUGACGCUGAGGCGCGAAAGCUAGGGGAGCAAACGGGG
rnacentral:rRNA from 1 species